rnacentral:misc_RNA from 1 species
UACAGAGGGUCCAAGCGUUAAUCGGAAUCACUGGGCUUAAAGGGUGCGCAGGCGGAUCCGCAAGUGUCUUGUGAAAUCCCACCGCUCAACGGUGGAAUUGCUUGGCAAACUGCAGGUCUUGAGCCCGACAGGGGUCGUCGGAACGUUAGGUGGAGCGGUGAAAUGCGUAGAUAUCUAACGGAACGCCAAAGGUGAAGACAGACGACUGGGUCGGCGCUGACGCUCAUGCACGAAAGCGUGGGGAGCGAACGGG